CUUGAGCUUUAUAAGAGGUCCAGCCUGCCCAGUGACUCUGUUCAACGGCCGCGGUAUCCUAACCGUGCGAAGGUAGCGUAAUCACUUGUUCUUUAAAUGCGGACUAGUAUGAAUGGCACUACGAGGGUUAUACUGUCUCCUUUUUCUAAUCAGUGAAACUAAUUUUCCCGUGAAGAAGCGGGAAUAUAACUAUAAGACGAGAAGACCCUAUGGAGCUUUAAACAACCCAGCAAUUACUUCUAAAAUUAUAAAUUUCAGAAUAUCCACUUUUUAAGUUAUAUGUCUGCAAGUUUUUGGUUGGGGUGACCAUGGAGAAUAACAUAACCUCCAUAUUGAAUGAAUUCCCUUCUAAGCUAAAAAUAACCAAUUGAAGCAUCAACAUACUGACAUCUAUUGACCCAAUAUAUUUGAUCAACGAACCAAGUUACCCUAG
rnacentral:rRNA from 1 species